rnacentral:misc_RNA from 1 species
UCCGGUUUGUCACCGGCAGUCUCAUUAGAGUGCCCUUUCGUAGCAACUAAUGACAAGGGUUGCGCUCGUUGCGGGACUUAACCCAACAUCUCACGACACGAGCUGACGACAGCCAUGCAGCACCUGUGUAAUGGUUCCCUUUCGGGCACUCCUCAAUCUCUCGAGGAUUCCAUCCAUGUCAAGGGUAGGUAAGGUUUUUCGCGUUGCAUCGAAUUAAUCCACAUCAUCCACCGCUUGUGCGGGUCCCCGUCAAUUCCUUUGAGUUUUAAUCUUGCGACCGUACUCCCCAGGCGGAAUGCUUAAUGCGUUAGCUACGGCACGGAUCCCGUGGAAGGAAACCCACACCUAGCGCCCACCGUUUACGGCGUGGACUAC